rnacentral:rRNA from 1 species
UUUUUUAAAGCGAAUAAGGGCGUAUGGCGGAUGCCUAGGGUCUGAGAGGCGAUGAAGGACGUGGUAAGCUGCGAUAAGCAACGGAAAGCUGCACACAAGCGUUAUAUCCGUUGAUUUCCGAAUGGGACAACCUAAUUACUUGAAGAGUAAUUACUCGAAAGAGAGCCAACCCGGAGAACUGAAACAUCUAAGUACCCGGAGGAAAAGAAAAUAAGAAUGAUUCCCCAAGUAGUGGCGAGCGAACAGGGAAGAGCCCAAACUUGAUCAGCGUGCUGAUCGAGGGUUGUAGGACUGCAUUUAGAAAGCGUUAUCAAAUUGAAGCAUCUGGAAAGUUGCGCCAUAGCAGGUGAUAGCCCUGUAGAUAGAAAUUAACGUGGACGAGCAGUAUCCUGAGUAGCGCGGGACCGGAGGAAUCCUGCGUGAAUCUGCCAGCACCAUCUGGUAAGGCUAAAUACUCCUCAGACACCGAUAGUGAACCAGUACCGUAAGGGAAAGGUGAAAAGCACCCCGAACAGGGGAGUGAAAUAGUACCUGAAACCGUACGCCUACAAGCGGUCGGAGCUAGUAAUAGUGACGGCGUGCCUUUUGCAUAAUGAGCCUACGAGUUGCUCCUCACUGGCGAGGUUAAGUUCGUAAACGAACGGAGCCGCAGCGAAAGCGAGUCCGAAUAGGGCAGAUAGUCAGUGGGGGCAGACGCGAAACUUUGUGAUCUAUCCAUGGGCAGGUUGAAGUUCUGGUAACACAGAAUGGAGGACCGAACCCGUUAACGUUGAAAAGUUCUGGGAUGACCUGUGGAUAGGGGUGAAAGGCCAAUCAAACUGAGAGAUAGCUCGUUCUCCCCGAAAUGUUUUUAGGAACAGCCUCGUAUAUAGAAGUUUAGCAGAGGUAGAGCUACUGAUUGGGCUAGGGGGCUUCACCGCCUACCAAACCCUGACAAACUCCGAAUGCUGCUAAAUAUCUACGGGAGUGAGGCUGCGGGCGCUAAGGUCCGUGGCCGAGAGGGAAAUAACCCAGAUUAGCAACUAAGGUCCCUAAUACAUGGUUAAGUUGAUCAAACGCGGUGGGAUUUCAAUAACAGCCAGGAUGUUGGCUUGGAAGCAGCCAUUCAUUUAAAGAGUGCGUAACAGCUCACUGGUCGAGAGAUCCUGCACGGAAAAUAAUCGGGCAUCAAACCAUGAACCGAAGUUCUAAAUUCAGCGCAAGCUGAGUGGUAGGGGAGCAUUGAAAUUACAUUGAAGCUGAUGGGCGACCAUUGGUGGAGUGAUUUCAAAAGAAAAUGUAGGCAUAAGUAACGAUAAUUAAAGUGAAAAACUUUAACGCCGAAAGUCUAAGGGUUCCUGAUCAACGUUAAUCGGAUCAGGGUUAGUCUGGUCCUUAGGAAAACCCGAAAGGGGCAUCUGAUGGAAAGAAGGUUAAUAUUCCUUCACCUGCUAUACAUUAAAAGUGACGCAUCGACGUGGUAGUUACGUUCUGACGGAAUAGAGCGUUAAGUGGAGCCUUCGGGCAAAGCGAAACUAUAAAAUUGGUGCCGAGAAAAGCGAGUAUAGCGGCCAGUACCGCAAACCGACACAGGUAGACGGGAUGAGUAUUCUAAGGCGCUCGGGUGAGCCGUGGAGAAGGAACUAGGCAAAUUAACGCUGUAACUUCGGGAUAAAGCGUACCGCAGCGAUGCGGUCUCAGUAAAAUGGUUCAACCAACUGUUUAACAAAAACACAGGGCCCUGCAAAAUCGAAAGAUGACGUAUAGAGCCUGAAACCUGCCCGGUGCCGGAAGGUUAAGGAAGGAUGUUCGGAG